UACGACGAAGUAACGAGGAAAACUGCCCUCGUAAAACUUGUGUUUUCUUGUAGUGAUUUCAUAUUUUAAUUGAGGCCUAAAUUCUAUUCACCCCUAACUAUACUAUUAUAUCUUUCUUAAAUUUCAGGAUGCUCUUGCGCUGAAUGUAGCCGGAAGCUAGACAAAUAUUUUCAAGCUCUGCUUAGGUGGAGAAGAGAGAUGUUCUGCUUAGGUGGAGAAGAAGAGGAAAAUAAAUCAUUGGGCCAAUGACAUUAGAUAACAAAAAUGAUUUUUAAAACUAUACAACCGAGAUAAAAAAAAAACUAAUUAAGAGAGGGAGAGGGAAAAAUAAGGAUUGGUGCUGUAUUACAAAGAAAUCCACACAAAUACAAACCAGCCGAAUGAAACAAUUACUAUAAAAGUAUAAAGAAAUAAAGAUACAAAUUACUAUGAAAUAAAAAUGCAAAGAAGCUUCCGUAUGUGUGCGGGGGUGUACGACGCGUAGAUCUAAUAUGGCAAUUAUAUAUUUAAAUAGAUUAAUUAUUUCUAAUAUCUAAAAAAAAAACAAAAUGUACUCAGAAUAAAUACGGGGGUGUGCUCGUAUGUGAUAUUUUCUCUUCUCCUUGCACUUCUCUGUUUUUGAGUUUCUCAAUCUCAUCUGCAGUCUCAUUCAAAAUAGCAACCUGAUGUUGUCUUCUACAGGUGUCGCACGAUAACAUCUGCCCCAGUGAGAUCAUUGCUAAUUCCCAUAAUCACUCCCCGAUCACCCAACAGAACUUUUAAACAAUCGAACUUCGUCCAAGAGUCAAACCAGAAUGAUGUUCUCCGACCGUUCUAGACUUCAACUCGAUGGAAUUUCCUCACUAGAUCCCUUAAAUUUAGUAGUUUUCUCCACACCCACAAUCCAUUGUUUGAUUUUUCUCUGAUCAAGCAAUACGAUCCCUUACAAAUCAAGUAUUAGUAAUAAUGACAUUGCUAUCUUUAUUUAAAUAAAAAUAUCAUAAAUAGCCAAAAUAUGAGAUUAUGAUACAUUGUAACAAAUUAAAUGAAAAUAAUGUAUAUAGUCAAAUAAAUAUGAAUUUCAUAGCUUAUAUAUAUAAAUAUAUUGUAUCAAAAUAGUGAAUUGAUAUUCAAACACCAAACAAUAUUUUAUUUUUGCAAUUAUCAGUAGAGAACUAUGAGAAAAAGUAAACGUUGUCAAAAAAUAAAAAUUGUCAAAAUGGAGUAAAAAUAACUAUCAAGUUACAUUCUUAAGAGAAAAUGGUGUUUAAAAAAAAGCUAGUGAGCUGGGUGAGACGGUCAUAUCUCUGUUAUUGUGUUUUCACCUAGUGAACAAAUCUAUUCUUUUGGUCAUCCAAAGCUGGAAACUAUAACAAAUCGACCAAAAACAUUGACAAUCCACCUCUCAGCCCACUCCUCAACAUCAAACUUGAUGAAAUCCAUCAAAUAUCUACAAUUUGAAUCUGAAUAAUCAUCUUACUUAGGAAAAUUUAUUGUGUUAUUCAAAAAUAUUAUUAAGUUUGAGAAAAUAUAAAAGCCUUAAUUUACACAGUGCUAUUCAUUUUUCAAUAUUUAUGAUUAUAGUACCGGUCAUAAUUAAUGUAUAUACUAUAUAAAAUACAUAUUUCUCCAUAUUUAGAGUAUAUAUACUCAUAACAUGGAAAAUAAAUGCAAAUAAUAUGGUGUAUACUUUGAUGCAAUAAUCGAUAUCAAGUGUACGCAUUACUCUGAAAAACCAUUGGUUAUGAUGGUUCGACGGUUUGUAACACCUUCGGAAUCACUGACUUCGUCGGCUCAUCGCCUACAUAUAUAACAUUUGUUCCGUUUGUUAUGUGGGCCGUUCAUUUAAAACGUAGCCCACACAGCAUGCAAACUCAGGCAGAAAACAACGUUAAAUGAUUAAAGUUUAGGAUGCUUACUUGUCAACAUGAGGGAUGCCCUAGCUGAGGUGGCUUCCAUAAUACUAUCAAUAAUAUUUUUAAGAUUCAAACGUCUUAUUUUCACUUUUUAACAUUCCAUAUCGUUUUCAACCUAAAAAAUCGAACACACAUUCACUUAUUAGCUAGUAAAUGAUUUUGUUCGAUAAAAUUCAAUACUCUAUUUAACUAAUUAAUAAUAAUUAUUAUUUUUGUUCAAGUAAAUUAUAAACUUUAUCUACUUAUAUAAAUGAAUUUUGAAAUACGAUGAUGUGCACUUUUUCAAUUAUCGUUAGUCACUGUAAAUAUAAGGAGCCUAUACAUUGUAUGAUGUCUCUAUUAGCAUAAAUAUAAGAGCAUGCAAUACAAGCAUAUAUACUUAUCCUUAAAUUUUCUUUUAUAAAAAGUAUAGGAGAAUAUAAUAGUGUACUUUUAAGUUUAAUAUUUUCUUCUAAUGUUAAAGCUUUUGAGGGUCAAUUGGUACACAUGUCUAGUUUCAUACUUUGUCAAAUAUUAUAAUUUUUAUAACAUUUAUACACUGUGAUAUAUCUACUAGUUAUAAUGACGUUGUUAUCUUUAUAAAAAAUAUAAAUAUCAUAAUUAGUCAAAUAUAGUAGAUUAUGAUACAUAUCACAAAUUAAAUGAAAAUAUUAGAGUCAAAUAUAUAAGAAUUUCAUACCUUAUUUUUGAUGGAAUGUAAAGAAAGUCAAAUGUAUCAAAAUGGUAAAUUGAUAUUCAAAUAUAAGACCUACAAAAAUUGAAUUAAAAUUACUUUUAGAUAACUUCAAACAUUAACUGCUGGUAUAUGAUAUUUAGCUAUAAAUAUACAAAGUCAUCAUCAUACAAACACCAUCCAAUAUUUUAUUUUUCCAGUUAUCAAUAUAGAGAAACAAUGAGAAAGACCAAAGGUCGUCUAAAAACAAAAAUGGUUAAAAUAGAAAAAGAAAAAAAUCUUCAAGUUACGUUUUGUAAAAGAAAAAAUGGUCUUUUCAAAAAAGCUAAUGAACUUUGCACACUUUGUAAUGCUCGUGUUGCUAUUAUUCUGUUUUCACCUAGUGGAAAAAUUUUCUCGUUUGGUCAUACAAAGGUGGAAACUAUAAUAGAUCGGUUCAAAAAAACUGACCAUCCAGAUAGCAACACACAAAGCAAUAUGCAACUUGGUGAAAUCCAUCAAAAUUCUACAAUUCGAGGUCUGAACAAUCGUCUUACUGAGGUGAUGAAGAACGUAGAAUCUGAGCAAAAAACAAAUGAAGAGUUGAAGAAACUAAGAAAAAAAUCCAAAUUACCUGAGAUUUGGUUGAAAGAAUCCAUUGGAGGACUUGACUUAGGUCAAGCCAAAGAAUUCAAAGGUAAACUUGAAAACUUGAAGAAACAAGUGAUAUAUGAAGCUUUCAAAAGCUUCCAAGCAACACCAUUUCCUCAGCCUGGCUUUUAUGGGGGAAGCUCUAGUAAUGCUCCUUUUGGGGUUGAUGGUAACGUGAAUGUUUUCGACAACCAUAACAUGGUUCUCUCCAAUCAUCCUUCACCAUUUGUCCCCGGAUUCAACCAUAACAUGGCUCUCCCCAGUCAUCCUAAUCCGAAUGAAUCUGGAAAUAAACAUCCUCAUGAUGGACAUCCUCCUCAGCCUAGAUCAGAUUAAUAUUAAUCAUCUCUAAUAAGAUACAGUUGAAGUCUUUAGACAAAAGCAUGUUCUAUUUUAUCCUCAUCUCUCCUAUGUAUGUUGUGUUUUUCUUCUUUAGCAGAAUUCCUUAUUUCUUCUUGGUAUGUUGUUGUGUGUGUUUUUAAUACAAUGUUGUUAUUUUUUUCCUUUCUUUUGCUUACUCAGAAUUAUGUUGUUAUCCUCAUCUUUAUAUAAAUAUAAAUAUAUAUAUAUAUAUGUAUAUUUAAGAAUAUGUUGUAGUAUUUUCUUUCAAAAAGCAGUUUAAUAAAAACAUAGAAUUAUAAACUUAUCUUAUAGAAAACUUCAA